UACGGGGGGGGCAAGCGUUGUUCGGAAUUACUGGGCGUAAAGGGCUCGUAGGCGGCCAACUAAGUCAGACGUGAAAUCCCCAGGCUCAACCUGGGAACUGCGUCUGAUACUGGAUGGCUUGAAUCCGGGAGAGGGAUGCAGAAUUCCAGGUGUAGCGGUGAAAUGCGUAGAUAUCUGGAGGAAUACCGGUGGCGAAGGCGGCUUGCUGGGCCAUUACUGACGCUGAGACACGAAAGCGUGGGGAGCAAACGGG
rnacentral:rRNA from 1 species